AGUGAACGCUGGCGGUAGGCCUAACACAUGCAAGUCGAACGGCAGCACAGUAAGAGCUUGCUCUUACGGGUGGCGAGUGGCGGACGGGCGAGGAAUACAUCGGAAUCUACUUUUUCGUGGGGAUAACGUAGGGAAACUUACGCUAAUACCGCAUACGACCUACGGGUGAAAGCAGGGGAUCUUCGGACCUUGCGCGAUUGAAUGAGCCGAUGUCGGAUUAGCUAGUUGGCGGGGUAAAGGCCCACCAAGGCGACGAUCCGUAGCUGGUCUGAGAGGAUGAUCAGCCACACUGGAACUGAGACACGGUCCAGACUCCUACGGGAGGCAGCAGUGGGGAAUAUUGGACAAUGGGCGCAAGCCUGAUCCAGCCAUACCGCGUGGGUGAAGAAGGCCUUCGGGUUGUAAAGCCCUUUUGUUGGGAAAGAAAAGCAGCAGGUUAAUACCCCGCUGUUCUGACGGUACCCAAAGAAUAAGCACCGGCUAACUUCGUG
rnacentral:rRNA from 1 species